UGCAGACAGGCAAGCAGCAGCAGGGUGAGAAUGCCAAAAGCACGCACAGAUGGCCCUCAUUUUCUGCAGCAGCUCUGAUAUAUCUGGGGAUUCACCAUGGCAUCACAAGGGCCACCCAGAACUGGCUCAACUCCCAUCAAGCCAAAGGCGACCACGCAUUCGUAUGUCAAUCCAUAUCAACUUUCGAUGCCAUUGACUGCACCUACCAUGGUGACCUUGGGUAAUAGGGAAUCAGGGUUCGAUUCCGUACAGGGACCCUGACAAACGGCUACCACAUGCAAGGAAGGCAGCAGGCGAGCAAAUGACCCACUCCCGACGCGGGAAAGUAGUGACG